rnacentral:lncRNA from 1 species
AGGAUCCAGAUACUGCACAGAAGACUUGUUGACCACCGUAAGGUCUAGUUUGGAGUAGACUUGAAGCUUUUAGAGAUGCCCGUGGCUGCAUCAUGAAGGAUUGCAGGGGCCCAGGGCAGAGUCAGGGUGGGCCUGUUGGGGAGUUAUGGCAGCAUCCAGGGUAGAGAACACAAGCCUGGGCCUGAGUGGGGAUGGGGAUGAGGAGGGAGAUGAGAAAGAAAAUUUGUAAGAAAUGAAGAUAAAUUGGAAAGGCCUGGGUGCUGAGGUUGGUGGACAGGUAACCAGCAGUGAAUUUAAGUUUCUGGCUUUGGAAGCUUCAGGGGUGCUGGUUUCAUCCCCCACAAUAGGGAACCCCGGAAGAGACCAGCUUCUGUGACCACGAGACUGCCUGGGCCCUCUCAAAGCUGAUAGCCUCGCUGGGGAGAGCUGCCACGUCAUCGCAACAAUGAUGACAAUAGCUAACUGGUCACUUGGCAGUGAUUGUGAUAGCUAAGUGCACAGGGUUUGAACCCUGCUCAGCCAGUGCCAGAGCCGCUGGCGGCAUUCUGCACCACUGCCCAUGUGCCAUCAUCCUCCUCUCUAAGUGCCUCCCGGGUGCCAAGAACGGUGCCAGCCAGGCACUGCGAUGUCAGCUCUGCGUGAAAAAGACAAGUGCCCUGUUCUCACAGAGCUUUGGCUCUGGGGAGGUGGGUGGGUCACAAACAAGACAGUCUGAGCCAGCGAAGAGCACUAAAGAGGAAGAACAGCCGCCCAUCUGAAAGGAGGUCUGCACCCAGAACUGGGCACCCGCAAGGUCACCUUGAAGGGUCUGCGGAGAACUCAGUGUCCCGGCGGCCUUGGGCAGCUGCAUUACUGGUCAGUGUGUGUGUGUGUGUGUGUGUGUGUGCGCGCGUGCGCACACGUGCAGGUUUCCAUGGUAACCUGUCAGGAGCCCCUCUAGCCCUACAGGGACCGGCAGCAGGUUGGUGCAGUGGGGAUCCUACAGGCUUUGAAGUUUGCAGGGCCAGGCCCGUAGGCCAGUUCUGCAUCUUCCAGACUGUGUAAGCCGGGGAGAUGGCUUUAGAGCCCCAAACCUUGGGGUCCUCAUCUGAUCCAGGGGCAAGGAAAACCUAUUUCACCUGGCAUUUGCUAAUUAAAUCAAAGCUUGGGUUAAAGAAGAAAAUGCCUGACCAAAGCGGUCUGGGCACGUAGCGGGCACUUGGGCAGUGGCGUCUGUUAUUUUUGUGCGUGUUGGUCCAACGGAGGAUGUGUCCACGGCGGGGUUUAGCUUACCCGGGGAUUAUGCCAUGCCUCUCUCACUAAGUGAUCCUGGGUCAGUGGCUACCUAUUUGUCUCUCUUCUCUGUUUUUAAAAGGAAUUGUAGGAAAACAUUAUUGGUGAGUCUGCUCAGCUUGACAUUGGUGGGGAUAGAAGCAAAAG